AUGCAAGUCGAGCGGCAGCGGAAGUACUUGCUACUUUGCCGGCGAGCGGCGGACGGGUGAGUAAUGUCUGGGAAACUGCCUGAUGGAGGGGGAUAACUACUGGAAACGGUAGCUAAUACCGCAUAAUGUCGCAAGACCAAAGAGGGGGACCUUCGGGCCUCUUGCCAUCAGAUGUGCCCAGAUGGGAUUAGCUAGUAGGUGGGGUAACGGCUCACCUAGGCGACGAUCCCUAGCUGGUCUGAGAGGAUGACCAGCCACACUGGAACUGAGACACGGUCCAGACUCCUACGGGAGGCAGCAGUGGGGAAUAUUGCACAAUGGGCGCAAGCCUGAUGCAGCCAUGCCGCGUGUAUGAAGAAGGCCUUCGGGUUGUAAAGUACUUUCAGCGGGGAGGAAGGCGAUAAGGUUAAUAACCUUGUCGAUUGACGUUACCCGCAGAAGAAGCACCGGCUAACUCCGUGCCAGCAGCCGCGGUAAUACGGAGGGUGCAAGCGUUAAUCGGAAUUACUGGGCGUAAAGCGCACGCAGGCGGUCUGUCAAGUCGGAUGUGAAAUCCCCGGGCUCAACCUGGGAACUGCAUUCGAAACUGGCAGGCUAGAGUCUUGUAGAGGGGGGUAGAAUUCCAGGUGUAGCGGUGAAAUGCGUAGAGAUCUGGAGGAAUACCGGUGGCGAAGGCGGCCCCCUGGACAAAGACUGACGCUCAGGUGCGAAAGCGUGGGGAGCAAACAGGAUUAUAUACCCUGGUACUCCACGCCGUAAACGAUGUCGACUUGGAGGUUGUGCCCUUGAGGCGUGGCUUCCGGAGCUAACGCGUUAAGUCGACCGCCUG
rnacentral:rRNA from 1 species